AGGAGCAAUCAGACAGAGUGGUCUAUGAAGACUCAACAAAAGCCAAAAUUUCAGCAAAGAAACAAGACUCUACUAAAGAAAAAAGACUUGCUUCCCCUGAUGCAGAUGUUGAUGGAGCACUCAGCCCCAACAGUCCAGGCUCGGUGUCAAAAGCAGACAUUCAAACAAAGGAGCAGAGAAUUCACAAAAGAGAAAGACCCACUGUUUCUCAUGAAAUUCCAGGCAAAAGUUCUGGACAUCAAGACUCAGAGCUAAGAUUCGAAAUCUGGGCAAAGAAACUAAAUUUUUUCAAACUGGAGAAUGAGUCCCUGGACAAAUACAUGUUCUCCUUAGAGCCUUGAGGAUUAGCCAGAAGGCAGAGGGGAUGGCAAGGCAAACAUUCAUGG